rnacentral:rRNA from 1 species
AACGAACGCUGGCGGCAUGCCUAACACAUGCAAGUCGAACGAGACCUUCGGGUCUAGUGGCGCACGGGUGCGUCACGCGUGGGAACCUGCCCUUAGGUUCGGAAUAACUCCCCGUAAGGGGUGCUAAUACCGGAUAAUGUCUUCGGACCAAAGAUUUAUCGCCUUUGGAUGGGCCCGCGUUGGAUUAGCUAGUUGGUAGGGUAAAAGCCUACCAAGGCGACGAUCCAUAGCUGGUCUGAGAGGAUGAUCAGCCACACUGGGACUGAGACACGGCCCAGACUCCUACGGGAGGCAGCAGUGGGGAAUAUUGGACAAUGGGCGAAAGCCUGAUCCAGCAAUGCCGCGUGAGUGAUGAAGGCCUUAGGGUUGUAAAGCUCUUUUACCCGGGAUGAUAAUGACAGUACCGGGAGAAUAAGCUCCGGCUAACUCCGUG